CAAUAGCGUAUAUUAAAGUUGUUGCGGUUAAAAAGCUCGUAGUUGGAUUUCUGCUGAGAACGACCGGUCCGCCCUUUGGGUGUGUAUCUGGCUCUUUCUUGGCAUCUUCUUGGUGAACGUUGCUGCACUUGACUGUGUGGAGCGCUACCCAGGACUUUUACUUUGAGGAAAUUAGAGUGUUUCAAGCAGGCAUACGCCUUGAAUACAUUAGCAUGGAAUAAUAAGAUAGGACCUCGGUUCUAUUUUGUUGGUUUCUAGAGCUGAGGUAAUGAUUAAUAGGGAUAGUUGGGGGCAUUCGUAUUUAACUGUCAGAGGCGAAAUUCUUGGAUUUGUUAAAGACGGACUACUGCGAAAGCAUUUGCCAAGGAUGUUUUCAUUG
rnacentral:rRNA from 1 species